AUAUACUACAAUGUAAUAAUUACAGAGUGCACAAUACAUGUAAUGUCCUUGAAAUAUUCCAAAACAGACCCCCUGCCCCCAGUCUGUGGAAAAACUGUCUUCCAUAAUAUUGGUCCCUGGUGCUGUAAAACCUGGGGACUGCUGCGCUUGAGCACUCACAGAAAGAAAUACGCAAAGCUCACGUCUUAGCAUAAGUCAUGUUCUAAGAUCCAGAGAGCUUCCAUGAUAGCCCAAACACAAUUCCGUAUUUCUUGUUUCCACAGGGUUGAUAUUAUUAAAAAUCAAACACAAACUUAAAUGUGUGGAUUGCUGAAUUACAAUGACAGUUGAAUUCACUGCAUCACCAAGGUUCUCAUGAGAACAUUGGGGCACUAAUAGGUGAAGAAUGGGAUUCUUUUUCCUUUUGAGACAGUCUCCCUCUGUUGCCCAGGCUGGAGCACGGAGGUGUGAUCUUGGCUCACUGCAGCCUCAGCCUCUGGGGUAGCUGAGAUAUGACCACAGCCUCAGCCGAGGUGUCUCACCCCAUUCUCUAUGAUGCGAGAAGAAGCCCACUGGGAGCAUUUCCGUCCCACUCUGUACUUCUACCAUUGUGCUCCUCACAGUCUGAAGCACUAAGCUGAAGAGUCCCUUGAGAACAAGUACUAUCCUGUGGUUUCAUAACCUUUCUUCCGUUUAUGGUUCUUGCCACGUUAAAUUUAAAUUAUAUCUUAUCAAGAUGGAUAAACCCAAGUUUUCCAGAGCUGGAAUAUAAAAAAUGGAUGGACCUAUAAGUCCUACUCACCCAUAGCCAACGCAUGGAGACCUCAACACACCUGGGCCCUAGACAUCACCUUUCAUUAUGAAGUUUCACUCGUUGCCUAGGCUGGACUGCAAAGGCACAAUCUCUGCUGACUGCAACCUCCUUCUCUUGGAUUCAAGCCAUCCUCUUGCCUCUGUCUGCAGAAUAGCUGGAAUUACAG